rnacentral:rRNA from 1 species
UGGGGAAUCUUGCGCAAUGCACGACAGUGUGACGCAGCAACGCCGCGUGGGGGAAGAAGGCCUUCGGGUCGUAAACCCCUUUCAGGAGGGACGAAGCUCGGGCUGUUAAUAGCUGACUCGAGUGACGGUACCUCCAGAAGAAGCCCCGGCUAACUACGUGCCAGCAGCCGCGGUAAUACGUAGGGGGCAAGCGUUGUCCGGAAUCAUUGGGCGUAGAGCGCGUGUAGGCGGUCCGAUAAGUCGGUUGUGAAAGUCAAGGGCUCAACCCUUGAAUGCCGACCGAUACUGUCGGGCUAGAGUCCGGAAGAGGUGAGUGGAAUUCCUGGUGUAGCGGUGAAAUGCGCAGAUAUCAGGAGGAACACCAAUGGCGAAGGCAGCUCACUGGGACGGUACUGACGCUGAGACGCGAAAGCGUGGGGAGCAAACAG